ACGCUCGACACCUACGAGAGGCAGCAGUGGGGGAUAUUGCACAAUGGGGGAAACCCUGAUGCAGCAACGCCGCGUGAAGGAAGAAGGUCUUCGGAUUGUAAACUUCUGUCCUCAGGGAAGAUAAUGACGGUACCUGAGGAGGAAGCUCCGGCUAACUACGUCGCACAGCCGCGGUAAUCUGAGCGGGCUGGCAAGGC
rnacentral:rRNA from 1 species